rnacentral:rRNA from 1 species
UACGUAGGGACCAAGCGUUGUUCGGAUUUACUGGGCGUAAAGGGCGCGUAGGCGGCGUGGUAAGUCACUUGUGAAAUCAUCCGUGAGCUUAACUCAGAAUCGGCCAAGUGAUACUGCUGUGCUAGAGUGCAGGAAGGGGCGAAUCGGAAUUCUUGGUGUAGCGGUGAAAUGCGUAGAUAUCAAGAGGAACACCUGAGGUGAAAACGGGUUGCUCGGGCUGACACUGACGCUGAUGCGCGAAAGCCAGGGGAGGCAAACGGG